rnacentral:snRNA from 1 species
ACCUUUGCACAGUAGCAGUAUUAUUGCCAGUGAGGUCUAUCUAAGGCACAGUUAUUGCUAAAUGAAACUUUUCAUUAUACUAAGUGGCAUAAGCCA